GCCUCAGCUGUCCCCAGACCGUCACAGAACUGUCCCCAGCAGUUGUGGUGCUCUCCAGGAACGCCUAAAACUGAUUGUGGCUGUCCGCAAGAAUCCUAAGCCUGAUCGUGGCCAUCCCCAAACCCUUCCAAACCCAACCGUGGCCAUCCCAUAACCCAAUCCCAACCAUGGCCAUUCUCUAACCCAAACCCAAACAUGGCCAUCCCCAAACCCAACCUUGCCCAUCCCCAAACCCUUCCAAACCCAACCAAUGUCCUCCCCUAACCCAUACCCAGCCAUGACCAUCCUCUAACCCAAACACAACUUUGGCCAUGUGCAAACCCUUCCAAACCCAAACCCUUCCAAGUCCAACCAUGGCCAUCCCCAAAACCAAACCCAGACUUUGUCAUCCCCAAACCCAACAGUGACCAUCCCCAAACCCAAAUCCAACCAUGGCCAUCCCCAAACCCAACCAUGGCCAUUCUCUAACGCAAACCCAACCAAGGCCAUCCCCUAACCCAAGCCCAAACAUGGCCAUCUCUAAACUCUUCCAAACCCAAACAUGGCCAUCCCCAAACCCAAAUCCAACCUUGGCCGUCUCCAAACCCAAACCCAACCAUGGUCAUCUCUAAACCCAAAUAUGGCCAUCCCCAAACCCAAACACAACCUUGCCCAUCCCCAAACCUUUCCAAACCCAACUAAGGCCGUCCCCAAACCCAAACCCAACCUUGGCCGUCCCCAAACCCAAUCCCAACCAUGGCCAUUCUCUAACCCAAACCCAACCACGGUCAUCCUCAAACUCUUCCAAAUCCAACCAUGGCCACCCCCAACCCAAACAUGGCCAUCCCCCAACCCA